rnacentral:lncRNA from 1 species
ACUCAUCUCCCCUGAACCUCAGCUCUCUCAGUUGAACCACUCCUCUAUCUGCUCAAACUCACCGGCGAUUAGAUAAAUCGGGGAUCCUCUCCCCUCAAACUCAACUGUCAAUGGAUUAAGGUUUGGUCUCAGGUUCAUUCGGGGCUUCGAUUCAGAGCUUCUCCAUUUCGUGGAAUUAGGGCUCCCGGUUUAUAGUUCCUUUUCUUCAUUUUGCUUUUCACUGUAAUUCUCUUAAUUUUUUGUCUUUAUUUUUCUUAGGGCUUCGAUUGAAUUGUGUCUUCAGUGAAACUAGGGCUUCAACAGCGUUUCACUUUAAUUGUAGCUUCGAUUUGCUUGGAUUUAAGGUACAAUCCGCUAUUUUCUUGUGCUUUUCACCUUAAAUGCAUGCCUUAUUUUUGAUAUUAUGUGUAAAUACAUGUAUAUUUACAUGUACAUAUUAAUUCAGCUAGUACAUCAUUCAGUCGCUCUGCUUACAUGUACUAGAGACAUGGAAUCAAUUCAUAUUCUUUUUUAUUUGGACACAGAUGAAAAAGAGUGGAGCUACUAUGUUGUUAGAAUCUGGUUCUUUUUGGAUUAUAGCUUAUAGUUACUUCUUGUGGUGUGAAGCUUCUGUAUAAUUUGUUUAUUCAGUUUGUUUUGAUUGAUAGAUCAAUUGGUAUUGGUUUGUUCUUCUAUGAUCUGUUUUCUUGAAUUUUAAAAUCCUGUAAAUUAUAUUUUUACUAGCUUAAAGUUAAUUGUGAUAUUUAUGUGCAGACCUAUCCCAAUCCGUUGCGAUCUAAUCCAACAUAUUUAGUUGUAAAGUUAGUAAAAUAUAC